GGGGGUAUAGCUCAGUGAUAGAGCAUUUGACUGCACAUCAAGAGUUCUCAGGUUCAAAUCCAGGUGCUCCAU